AUUGAACGCUGGCGGCAGGCUUAACACAUGCAAGUCGAGCGGGGUGAUGGUGCUUGCACUAUCACUUAGCGGCGGACGGGUGAGUUAUGCUAGGAAUCUGCCUAUUAGUGGGGGACAACAUCUCGAAAGGGAUGCUAAUACCGCAUACGUCCUACGGGAGAAAGCAGGGGAUCACUUGUGACCUUGCGCUAAUAGAUGAGCCUAAGUCGGAUUAGCUAGUUGGUGGGGUAAAGGCCUACCAAGGCGACGAUCUGUAGCGGGUCUGAGAGGAUGAUCCGCCACACUGGGACUGAGACACGGCCCAGACUCCUACGGGAGGCAGCAGUGGGGAAUAUUGGACAAUGGGGGGAACCCUGAUCCAGCCAUGCCGCGUGUGUGAAGAAGGCCUUAUGGUUGUAAAGCACUUUAAGCGAGGAGGAGGCUCUUUUGGUUAAUACCCAGAAUGAGUGGACGUUACUCGCAGAAUAAGCACCGGCUAACUCCGUGCCAGCAGCCGCCGUAA
rnacentral:rRNA from 1 species